rnacentral:rRNA from 1 species
CGACUGCGGACGACAUUA